rnacentral:rRNA from 1 species
UACGGAGGGUGCAAGCGUUAUCCGGAUUCACUGGGUUUAAAGGGUGUGUAGGCGGGCAUUUAAGUCAGUGGUGAAAUCUCCGAGCUCAACUCGGAAACUGCCAUUGAUACUAUUUGUCUUGAAUAUCGUUGAGGUUGGCGGAAUAUAUCAUGUAGCGGUGAAAUGCUUAGAUAUGAUAUAGAACACCGAUUGCGAAGGCAGCUAACUAAGCGAUGAUUGACGCUGAGGCACGAAAGCGUGGGGAUCAAACAGGAUUAGAAACCCCUGUAGU